CCCCAAAACCAAUUGAUACAGCUUGGAAGAUUAUCAUUUUUUCUUAAAAAGAUACAUACUUGCAUGGUUUUUUUGAAUGUGUCAUUACUAAGAUAAAUUAGGCUGUCUCGAUAACUGAAGAAGUUACAGCUAAAACCGAAACAGCCUGGACAUCGAAUACAAUCUCACACUAUUGCCAGCUUUCUAACAUCACAUUUAUCCCACGCGAUGGUGCACUUUCAGCAUAAUAAUGCAAGGACCCUAGGAUGCAGCAGACACAGAAAUAAUGUCAGAAGCAAUUCUUCACAUUUGGAUCUUACCACAUCAAGUGCAAAUAGUGAACUUAAACAUGAAAAUGCAAUUUGCUCCUUCUAAAGUAUACAUUUUUAUCUCUUGCAAAAGAAAAUAAAAAACCCCACAUUCAUUUCCUACGCCUCGAGGUAAAAAGAAUGGCAUCUAUCACUGGUGCAGAGAAUGCUGAAGGAUUUAGAGGCAAUCUUUUCAUAAUGCUUCUUUGGGUGAGGAAGUGGAGUUAUGAGUUGCUCAAAAUUCAUAAAGAUUAUUAAGUUUACAUCCUCACAGAAGAUCCGCCACCAGUGCAUCGCUCAACUAGACUGUCAGCAGUCCUGCCCAACUCUACUGAGAACAGGUCUCUGGCUCCAGACCUUCAUUCAUUUUGUGGCAUUAGUGCUCCAGCAGAUGAAAUAAAGAUUCUAUCCAAUUCAAAAAUCCAACAAACGAACAAAACCCCCAAACCCAAUCACCUCCAGUGGAACAAGGAUGCAGUAUCGUCACUGAACUCAGGUACUCAUUCUAUCAAUAACCCUUCAUGGACGUAAUUUUAACUGGAGAGUCGGUUUUUAUUUCAGCAAGUUUACUCCGGAUUACCAACUUGUGUGUUUGUGCCUGCUGGGCUAUUUGAAUGAUUACCCUGUCCCUCAAUGCCCUCAGCUAUGACCGACUGGGCACCUAUGGCCAUGACCUCUCACAGUAAGGAAGCUUCCUAAACAACAGUGAGCUUUCCUGCUUGAUGAAUUCCAACCGCACAGCUCAUCUAAACUGAGCCUAUGGGCUUCCUGGGUUUCCUUCUUGCUCUCCGCAUAGGUCUACGGGAAGUUAUGAAACAUAUUUUUCUAGUCCUCCCAGGAGCAAGGCCAGGUUCACAAUUUGACCUCAGAAACACAGCAGUCCUGCAAAGCCAGACAGCCUGAUGGAACUGAGGAUUAGUGCACUCUGCCUGGCCCAGCACAGACCAUAACAUGCAGCACCGAGCAAUGCUGUGUAUGGGAAAUGACAAGCAAUGGACCAGGGGGAGAAAAGUAAUGGGAUUUAAUCACAUAAAAAUAUCCCAGGUACACAGCUCCUUUACAACAAGCCACCCACCUCAGGUAAGGGCUCCGUGUUCUUCUGAAACAACACCCCCUCCCUUGUAAUUUACAAGGGAGUUGUCCAACCAGCUCUUUUUGAUCAGAUUAAGUUACAGGGUUCUGGACACACCUGGAGAGUCUCCUUCCCAUCAGGUUAAUACUCCCCGAUCCCCCGGAAUAAUUUUAAGUAAACAUACAAAAAUAUCUAUCUGUGCAUCGGAGAGAUGUCUUAGAUGUGUGAGGAAUGAUGCAGGAACAGGGCAGGCUCAUGUGAAAGACUGUCACAUACUAAUUAAGGACACGGCUGCCGAAAAAAGGAAGGCUGACCCUGCAGUCUUAUUUACACAAUUUCCAGCCAGAGGGCUGUGAAGUGGAGCCCCAGUGGGGGCAUUUCUAUCGGAAACCCAAGGGCACCUGCAUUAGGGAAACUGGUGUAAAUGAAUCCCUUUGCUCAAUGACAGAAGAAAAGACACCAAUACUUCAAUUAUCUUGGCAUGGAAUCUAUGUGCUGACCCUCUUGGAGUCCACAUGACAAGACACAGUUAUCUCUUAUUUUAUUAUUAUUAUUAUUUGCACUUCCCUAUGUGUUCAGUUAGAAGGAGGACGUUUUGCGACGAGAACGAUAGAGCUUUUUAGACAGAAGGUAGUGAUUCAAAAACUGCAAAACUUCAGCUUGCAAAAAUAGCCUAAGUGACCUCUUGCAGUACUCUGACCACUCUGCAGCAAGCAGGAGGCAACCCCUGUGAAGAGCGGAUUCUGGCAAAGUUCUCUCUUCACAGAUGAUGCACAGCUUAAGCUAUAAUGAGUUUUUGGGUUACAAAUGCUGAACGCAUUAAUAUUCCUUGAUGAUAAUUAUCACAGUAUAAGCACCUUUCCCAAUGUGAGUAGCAUAAAGCAACUGAAGCAGCAUUUUUACUACAUUUGAAACAAGCUGGAAAAUGGGAUUUUCUACUCCUGUAACCUGGGGUCAACAUACAUCAAGCAUUGCAUAUUAAACACACCUAUAUAUGAACCCGGCAUCAUUUUUCCCUCCCUCCUUCUUCCUGUAUACCUGAAGCUCUCUCCUUUAUCCAGUCUUCAUUAUGAAAUUCUUGAUAUGGACAUACAUGUGAUAUACAUAGUUUGAAAAAGAAAUGCAUUUCCCCCGUAUCACAGGACUCCUAUGUUUCUUCUUAUGAGAAUCCAAAUAGCAAAUAAGAUCAGUAAGCCAUGCUUUAGAGAUGUGUCUCUGUGCAGUUUAAAUGAAUACAGGCUGCAUAUAAAACAGGAUGAAAAUCAGAAUUGAGCAAACAGGCUCCUAGAAGAACCAAAGGCAUUAUAUACAAGACAAACUACCAGCCUUUAUCUUUAUACUUUCAAAACUAACAAUAGUAGAAAGCACCGAAUACAUGUGAAUUCUAACCCACCAAUAUGAUAACAGUCAAGAUGUCAGCAUGAUAUUUACUGGCAAUAUUUUCACUAAAGAUUCUAGAAACCAACUUUCAUUCCAGAUUAAAAGAACAAUUAUUAUUAUUGUUUGGUAAUAACCAUCAAAUAUUAUAAGAAAAAUUGGUAAAGGUGAUCCAUUAUGCAUUACGUCAGUGUAUACAACAAUACCUAAUAUUCAGGAUUUGCCACAGCAUACCCAAGCAGAUGCUGUAAAGAUGUCACUUACUAUGCCCCAAUUUGAUUUGAUAAUAUGCUCUGAAUAAACUACAAAUUGAUUUCCCCUCCCUUUCCCUAUAUACAGUAAAAAAGAAAAAAAAAAUCUGUUAUAAAACUCAACUGAUACUAGGGUGGCUUAAAAUCACUGCAAUGUAAGAGCCUCCUUUUUAAAAAACAUGCUGUAUAUCCUUUAAAUACUCUCUGUAAAUAAUCCCAACAGGACUUGGACUAAACAGUGACAAAGGGAAACCCAGUUUGAACCCUGAAUCUGAAGAAUGUGACCAGAUUUAGGAAUUCUGUAGGUGUGAAUGAGCUGAACUCAUUUGUACCGUGUUACCCAGACUUCAUUUAGAUAAUAUGCCACGCUACAACUGCUUCAAGUUCUGUAACAUCAUUUUUACUUAUGUGCUGCAAAAAUGUCUUCAAAUCCCAUUUGAAUAGAUGGCAGGGUUAUGACGGAACCUUUACUAAAUAUUUAACAGCACUAUCGGCUUAUUAAAUACUAUAAUGUGAGAGCCAUGAAAGCAUGAUAUACAGUGCUUGCCUUUUUUCUAAAACUUAAUGCUUCUGCUCAUUUUGAACACUCUGCAAGCCCAUUCAUCAGUAGAACUGAGGCAUUUUAAAAAGUCCUCAUUUACUAGCAGAUAAAUGUGGUUAGAGAAGCUUUUUAGUGUAGAAGUGACUGGAAACCUAUUUGGUUUUACUGUGCAAAUUUGCUUUACUCUGCACUAGGAAGAAGAAAAAAAAUAACACCUCACAAAACAUUAAAGCUGCAUUUAAAAAAAACAGUUAAUACAAUUCUGGCAUUUAGUCUGUUAGGAUAUUUGUAAUUAACACUAUGCUUUAAAAAAAGUUAAUCAAAUUUCAUAGCCUGCUUCAGUGGGUAGAAAGUCGGAAUCUUCUCUGAAAAGAUAUUUCUAUUCACAAAGAGAUAUACUAUAGUCUAAUUUAAAAGAACACUCCCUUUCCACUGGAAACCCGUGGAGUGAGCAUUUACCCUGUAAACACUGUAACAAUGAUUAUCUGUCCUUUCCCAUUCUCAGUGGAGACUCUUGCUUUUGAAAAUGUCUUGUGGUGACUUACUAAAUUCAGGCUAUUUCAAUUAGUAUUACUGCACAUUAAAAAUUAAUUGCAUUACUGAGUAGAUUAAGGUUUAAAUUUCAAUUCUACAGUAUGUGCACUAGAAAUGACAGCUAAAAAUCAAUGCUCUUUGGCCCACAAUCGGAAGUGUGUACACUUGAAUAGUUCAGGACUGGCGUCACUGGCCAGGCAGUUUUAAAAGACUUGAUAGUUCAAUUGAAGGUGUGUCAGGUCUAAUUCUAGACUUUAGCUUGAAUGUUGCGCAGUAGCUCAGGCUUAGAAAAAGAAAAACAGAACAAUAGUUGCCCUAACCAUUGGGAAAACAAACGUACACAGGUACUAAAAUGAUGACAACAAAGAGAUUAACAGUUGACCAAACUUCAUGUAUAAUUAUCCCCAGGCUAAAAUUUUGUUCAGAAUUCUGUUUACUAAGAACACGAUCCUUGACUUAAUUCCACAGUAUUUUUUAUUAGUUAUUGAGUGACAG
rnacentral:lncRNA from 1 species